CUUCAUUAUUGAGGAUAUUGGAGCUUGGAAGAGGAAAUUGGUGGGAAAGAGCUUUAGGUGGAGCUUGGAAGAGGAAAUUGGUGGGAAAGAGCUUGAGGAAUUAAAGGCUUGCUGCAAAGGAGUGGUGUAGAUCCGGGAUCUACUUCAGUUGGAGCAUAUAUUGGAGUGUUCUGUGGUGAAGAUCGUGUUGGUGGUUGGAGCAACUUGGUCUUAUCUUUCCAGUCGGCAAUUGCAGGUACUAGUGAGGAUCGCGGGAAGGCGCCGGCCUGAUCAGUACACACACGAGAUUUUUAUGUUAUGAGAUCUUCGGAUUGUUUUAUCAUAUGAAUUUGAGUUUCAAACAAUGAUGUUUUUAUGAAUAAGAAAUGAAUUAUGUUUUUAUAAAAUGCGAAAAAUUGUUUUGAA